AGUGAACGCUGGCGGUAGGCCUAACACAUGCAAGUCGAACGGCAGCACAGUAAGAGCUUGCUCUUACGGGUGGCGAGUGGCGGACGGGUGAGGAAUACAUCGGAAUCUACUUUUUCGUGGGGGAUAACGUAGGGAAACUUACGCUAAUACCGCAUACGACCUACGGUUGAAAGCAGGGGAUCUUCGGACCUUGCGCGAUUGAAUGAGCCGAUGUCGGAUUAGCUAGUUGGCGGGGUAAAGGCCCACCAAGGCGACGAUCCGUAGCUGGUCUGAGAGGAUGAUAAGACACACUGGAACUGAGACACGGUCCAGACUCCUACGGGAGGCAGCAGUGGGGAAUAUUGGACAAUGGGCGCAAGCCUGAUCAAGCCAUACCGCGUGGGUGAAGAAGGCCUUCGGGUUGUAAAGCCCUUUUGUUGGGAAAGAAAAGCAGCAGGUUAAUACCCCGCUGUUCUGACGGUACCCAAAGAAUAAGCACCGGAUAACUUCGUG
rnacentral:rRNA from 1 species